AAGAAGGGGCUGUGUCUCUCAAUCGGUUAGUUUCACUAGCCCUCUUCUGUGACUUGUGUGACGUUUUUUCACUCAUGCUUAUACACUUUAUUUUACAGGGGUACCCAGAAUUUCAAGCCGGGGAUGCGCUGCGAUCCAAAACCCAGAAACUGGAUAUAACUGGUGUGUUUUGGCUGGCGUGCAGGCACGUGCAUCCACUGAAGUUCCUGAACCUGAGGAGAGAAAUAAACAGUCCCGAUCUGAAGGUUGGACACCACAUUUUCAGUCCAGGACUUUCAUGCCAUGCUCAUAAUGCUGACUGUCAGUUUCAGGUCACUGAUGAUACCAAGUAUUUGACUGGUAGUGGGCUUACUAACGGAUAACAGAUGGAGCGGUUGUGGUCCAACCUUAGAACAUUUGGGAAGAGCACAAAAGAGAUACCAUCUCAUCGCAUUGAUGCCCUCACCGAUGCCUUCUAAAAUGCUGCCAAGCACUGGCAAUACACCUCUGUCAGCAGAAGGCCAUGAAGGAGAAAACCAGGAGAAGUUGGUGUGGCUAGACAGCAUUCCAGGAGAUGGCAGUCCAUAAUCAAAGUGGAAUACAAGUCCAAUUUAUAUGUUGUGGAAUCAUUCUCCAAAAAGGGGAAGUACCUGAAACGUAUCCGUUUCCAUGGCAGAGGAAUGUUUGCGAUCAUGGAUAAAGUUUACUGUCACUACUUUGUCAAGCUGGUGGAAGGGCUCCCAGCUAAGGUGGAACAGAAGACAAGCUGUUCCAGUCGCACCAUUAUCCACGCACUAUAGGGCAACUAAUAAACUCUGUUUGUGAUUUGAUAUUUGUUGUAAAUAAAUAAUGUAUUAUAUUUGCUUUAUUGUUUUUAUGAUUCUGGCUGUUCUCAUUUAGGAUU